rnacentral:rRNA from 1 species
GACGAACCGUGCAAACGUUGUUCGGAUUCACUGGGCUUAAAGGGCGCGUAGGCGGGCGGUCAAGUCAGGGGUGAAAUCUUUCGGCUCAACCGGAAAAGUGCCUUUGAUACUGGCCGUCUCGAGGGAGGUAGGGGCAUGCGGAACUUCCGGUGGAGCGGUGAAAUGCGUAGAUAUCGGAAGGAACGCCGGUGGCGAAAGCGGCGUGCUGGACCUCUUCUGACGCUGAGGCGCGAAAGCCAGGGGAGCAAACGGG